UACGCCGGCAACGGUGAAACUCAAAGGAAUUGACGGGGGCCCGCACAAGCGGAGGAACAUGUGGUUUAAUUCGAUGAUACGCGAGGAACCUUACCCGGGCUUAAAUUGCAACCGAAUAUGGCGGAAACGCCAUAGCUAGCAAUAGCGGUUGUGAAGGUGCUGCAUGGUUGUCGUCAGCUCGUGCCGUGAGGUGUCGGCUUAAGUGCCAUAACGAGCGCAACCCUUGCCGAUAGUUACUAACAGGUCAUGCUGAGGACUCUGUCGGGACUGCCAUCGUAAGAUGUGAGGAAGGUGGGGAUGACGUCAAAUCAGCACGGCCCUUACGUCCGGGGCUACACACGUGUUACAAUGGGGGGUACAGAGGGCUGCUACCACGCAAGUGGAUGCCAAUCCCAAAAACCUCUCUCAGUUCGGAUUGAAGUCUGCAACCCGACUUCAUGAAGCUGGAUUCGCUAGUAAUCGCGCAUCAGCCACGGCGCGGUGAAUACGUUCCCGGGCCUUGUACACACCGCCCGUCAAGCCAUGGGAGCCGGGGGUACCUGAAGUGCGUAACCGCAAGGAGCGCCCUAGGGUAAAACUGGUGACUGGGGCUAAGUCGUAACAAGGUAACCGU
rnacentral:rRNA from 1 species